CUCUCUGGAUUUCUAUCCAUAAUUUUUUUUGACUUUUAAUAUUCUACGUUUAAUCUCUUUCUUCUUUGUUGAAUGAACAAGCACCAAACACCCAACCCAACCAAGCCAAACGGAUCCUUAAAAAUUUUCAAUUCUCUCUUCACUUUUGUUGCUUCCGCAAUAAUCUCACCAGCUUUGAACCUAACUCACCUCUCCUCCAUAAUAUCUCAUAUUCUACUCAUCAUUUCUGUCAUCUCCGUAUAUAUCUUUAUCUCCUAAGUUUGAUUCAUAUCUCUUCUUUCUCUCUUCCAUCUAUCCGGGCUUUCAUUUCCUUUCUUUCUGUGUUUUGAGAAAUCUUAGUCCUCUGUGCCAUCAAACAGCUUCAUAUAAGUUCACUCGCUGGAUCAUUGUGAUUCUACGUUACUGCUGCUUUUUAUGUCAGUUUAAAGUCUUUAAGAAUAAUUGGCAUUUGCUCUUAAAGCUCAAUUUUCUUACAAAAAAAAGUUCCAGAAGCACUUAUAUCUUCAACAGUCUCCUGUCUCCCGUCAUUUUGUUUUUAUUUUUUUCUUCUCAUCUCUCUCCUUUCCAUAUACACAGAAAAGGUUAUUUUUUUUUUAUUAUUAUUAUUAUUGAUUUGUAACGUU